rnacentral:tRNA from 1 species
GCCCGGAUGGCGGAACUGGUAGACGCACAGGACUUAAAAUCCUGGGGCUUUUAGCCGUGUGGGUUCGAGUCCCACUCCGGGCACCA